rnacentral:lncRNA from 1 species
GGGCUUCAGCGACCGCCUGAGGUAAAUACCGUGGAGUGCAGUGGCUGGGUCAUAUGAGUGCAGCGUCCAUUUUAUUGAAGUAAAAUGGAUUUUUGUACAUUCACUCCGUGACUCAACUGAGAAGAUAUCCACCACCCACACAAUAGGCAAAGGAUUAGUGGUGGAAUAUGCAAAUGGAUCUAAAAAUCACAGUAAACGUACAAACAACACAAUCUUUUUUGUUUGUUUUUGAGACAGAGUCUCACUCUGUCGCCCAGGCUGGAAUGCAGUGGUAUGAUCUCAGCUCACUGCAACCUCGUUCUCCUGGGCUCAUGCAGCCAUCCCACCUCAGCUACCUGAGUAGUUGAGACUACAGGUGCACCCCACCAUGCCCAGCUAAUUUUUGUUUUUUGCUUUUUAUUUAUUUUUUUUUUUGUAAAGACAGAGUCUCACCAUGUUGCCCAGGCUGGUCUCAAACUCCUGAGUCGAAUGAUCCACCUGCCUCAGCCUCCCAAAGCGCUGGGAUUACAGGCGUCAGCCACUGCACCCGGCCCCAGCAGUACAAUCUGGUAACUCGAAAAAGAACUGGCACCUCAUGAAAACAGAAACGGCCAAUGAACUGAAAAGACGCUCAGCCUUAGCAGACCCAGGUAUGUCACGCUAAAGCAAUGAAGCGCUUCCUCCUCUCCGGCUGUGCUCACUGCUGGGAACUGGCAGCUGGGGGGGGUCUCUGUCCUGCCUGCUCCCCCUCCACGGCCACUUGCUGCCUUGUCCCUCUCACCCAGCUGGCCAAGCCCAGCUGGGCACCGGGCCUGCACCCAAGCUGCCCGGAGUGGAAAGAGAGGAGACACAGCCAUGUGGAGUGGUUUCAUUUUAAAUUAAUGGCCACCAGCUCAAGCGGACACUUGUUGACUACAUUUCCCCAGCCUGGUACCACCUCAGCAUGUCCUCGUGUCCUGGCACAGAGAGGGCAGAGCUGUGAUCACACUGCCUGCCCCCUCCAAAUGAAAGGCUGCUGAGCAGAGCGGGAAGCUGCACCUUUGCAGGCAGGUCAAGGACCUGGCUUCUGGGACCCAGGGGGGCCCCAUGUAAAGGGGAGUGGGGCUGGGCUUGUCUCGAAUCUGCCUGAAGUGGGGAUCUGGAAGAGUGAAACUGAAGGAGGCUGGAAGUAUUCACCUGAAGGCAGAGAGACUCCAGACCCCGAAAAAGUGGCCCGAGAGGGACAUUCAGCUUUAGUCACCUGGGAGCCCAAGCAGCGUGUAGGCAGCAGAGACCCCCCACCCUUGCCGCUGGCCUUGGGCUGUCCCCAGAGGGUCAGGAGCUGCAGCUGGAGAGGAAGUGGGCGGACCCCAGGCUGGAGCAGGAGGCGUUUCAACUCCGAGUAAAGUUUGAUCGUUACACUGACCGGGACACAAAAAUUACUUCACUGAGACCAAAUCAAAAAUGGGCAUGAAAAUGGGGCAAGCUUUUCAGCCAGUGGUGGGUGGGGGUGGGGAAGAACACUGGGGGAAGGAAUAGUACAAGUGAUUUGUCUCUUAUUUUAAUAACUCUCAAAGCUGCAAAAGUGGGUGGGGCUUAUUCAAAUUAAUGUAAUUCUUUUGUCUGAUUCUCUUCAGACAUCAGUGACACUAAACACAUGCACGGGGGACCAUCGGGGCUGGCGCUGGAGGGAUUCUUCCACCUCUGCAGCACCCACCUGUGCGCCUGCAAACUGUUCUGUCUCCCUCCCUCUUCCAGGAAAACACUUUUCUAUGAAUUCACUAUGAUAUUUGUACUAUGCUGGGGCUAUUUUUAGGAGUUGGUGUGAUGAAAUAUUCAGCAUUGUAAACAGUGUGCACACAAA